GUUCCGUAGGUGAACCUGCGGAAGGAUCAUUAUUGUAUAACCGAGGUGCGAGGGCUGUCGCUGACCCGAAAGGUCGUGCACGCCCGAGUGCCCUCACACACAUCCAUCUCACCCCUAUGUGCACCACCGCGUGGGUCCCCCUUUGGCUUGUUCGGAGGGGGGCUUACGUUUUCACACAAACUCUGUAUGCAGUGUAGAAUGUAUUUUUUGUUUUUGCGAUCACGCAAUCAAUACAACUUUCAACAACGGAUCUCUUGGCUCUC
rnacentral:misc_RNA from 1 species